rnacentral:rRNA from 1 species
UACGAAGGGGGCUAGCGUUGCUCGGAAUCACUGGGCGUAAAGCGCACGUAGGCGGCCUCUUAAGUCAGGGGUGAAAUCCUGGAGCUCAACUCCAGAACUGCCUUUGAUACUGGGAGCCUUGAGUUCGGGAGAGGUGAGUGGAACUGCGAGUGUAGAGGUGAAAUUCGUAGAUAUUCGCAAGAACACCAGUGGCGAAGGCGGCUCACUGGCCCGAUACUGACGCUGAGGUGCGAAAGCGUGGGGAGCAAACAGG